UACGUAGGGUCCGAGCGUUGUCCGGAUUUAUUGGGCGUAAAGAGCUCGUAGGCGGUUCCGUAAGUCAGAUGUGAAAACUCAGGGCUCAACCCGGAGACGCCAUCUGAUACUGCGGUGACUGGAGUCUGGUAGGGGAACACGGAAUCCCUGGUGUAGCGGUGAAAUGCGCAGAUAUCAGGAGGAACACCGAUGGCGAAGGCAGUGUUCUGGGCCAGUACUGACGCUGAGGAGCGAAAGCGUGGGGAGCAAACAGG
rnacentral:rRNA from 1 species